UACGUAGGGGGCAAGCGUUGUCCGGAUUUAUUGGGCGUAAAGAGCGUGUAGGCGGUUUGGUAGGUCCGCUGUGAAAACUCGAGGCUCAACCUCGAGACGCCGAUGGAAACCCCCCAGCUAGAGUCCGGAAGAGGAGAGUGGAAUUCCUGGUGUAGCGGUGAAAUGCGCAGAUAUCAGGAAGAACACCCGUGGCUAAGGCGGCUCUCUAGUACGGUACUGACGCUGAGACGCGAAAUCGUGGGGAGCGAACAGG
rnacentral:rRNA from 1 species